AUUGAACGCUGGCGGCAGGCCUAACACAUGCAAGUCGAACGGUAACAGGAAGCAGCUUGCUGCUUCGCUGACGAGUGGCGGACGGGUGAGUAAUGUCUGGGAAGCUGCCUGAUGGAGGGGGAUAACUACUGGAAACGGUAGCUAAUACCGCAUAAUGUCGCAAGACCAAAGAGGGGGACCUUCGGGCCUCUUGCCAUCGGAUGUGCCCAGAUGGGAUUAGCUUGUUGGUGGGGUAACGGCUCACCAAGGCGACGAUCCCUAGCUGGUCUGAGAGGAUGACCAGCCACACUGGAACUGAGACACGGUCCAGACUCCUACGGGAGGCAGCAGUGGGGAAUAUUGCACAAUGGGCGCAAGCCUGAUGCAGCCAUGACGCGUGUAUGAAGAAGGCCUUCGGGUUGUAAAGUACUUUCAGCGGGGAGGAAGGGAGUAAAGUUAAUACCUUUGCUCAUUGACGUUACCCGCAGAAGAAGCACCGGCUAACUCCGUG
rnacentral:rRNA from 1 species